GGAUGAUAUGAGAGGAUGGGGGAGGGCGGGUGAUACAGAGAGAGAGAGAGAGAGAGAAAGCGAGGCUUCGGGUUAAAAAGUAAAAAAGUGAGAAACGCAGCAAAGCAAAAGGAUAAAAGAAAGAGGAAAAAUAGUACUGAUAAAAGGAAAACUGCUGCUUCACUGGUGAUUACAGCUCCUUUUAAAAAAAUAACAACAAAGGAAAGUACUGAAGACCAAAGAGGAACAUUUUAACCAUGAUGCUGAAGCUGUUGUUUCUGCUCUGCUUCCUGGAAACCUCAGCUCAAAUAAAUACAACAGAACAGAACAUGGUCACACAAGGAUCUGAUUAUGUCUCGACAAAAACAGCAACAAUGGAGGCGACCAGCUCCAAUAUGACAAAAGAUGAGGCUACCAAUACAUCAGUGUCAACUCUACUGACAUCCACAACCUUGGCCAACAAGUCACUGAAAUCAGAAUUAACAACAUCAGCAA